GGUCGGGUCCUGUGCAACGGAUGCCCGAGAAUCAGGUCAGAUCCGGAAGGAAGCAGCCUUCAUCGGUCGCUGAAGUGUGCCGCAGAUCGCCUGGCCGUC
rnacentral:SRP_RNA from 1 species